UUCACGAUUCCCGAAGAUCCAUCCGUCAGAUUUCGGAACGGAUUGCGCCAGCGCGUUCAGCACGACUAGGGCAUCGAAUCUAGCAUUUUAUUCCGUCUGAUUUGGUUUCCGAUCAGCGACGAAACCUGCCCUCUCUAUUUCCACCAUAUAACCGCUUAUAUUAUUACAUGUAAUAUCCAUUAAACCCCUUUUUCUCGACAACCGUGCAUCAGAACCCAAUUCCGU
rnacentral:lncRNA from 1 species